UCCUGUUCUGCAAUGUGCAAACAGCCCGGUGACAUAGCGGGGUAACGCUGUUUGAACAGUCUCUUCAGUCAAGGAUUUUUCCAAAAUAAAUUGGAUGGGAAUCAACGGACAUGCAUGGUGUGCUUUGAGAAGACCACCUGGGUUGAGACCAGGCGCUUUCGCUCAUCCCUGCAUAGAGGUGGACCAUGGUGUUUCUUUGCAAGCUGGACCAGCAGUGAUCUCUGUCAGUCCUUGGACAUUGUGUCAAAGGGUGACAGGAACGACUCGUAUUUGAUCUUGAAGAUCUUCCCAAUAAUUCAAGAUUUCUUUGGGCUGGAUUUUUUGGGCUGUCCCUGUUGACCUGUGGCAUUGGUGGGCUGGAUUCUGAUGGGGUUUCCUUCAUGCCGAAUCACACCUUCCUCCAUACUUGCUCGUGUGCGAACACUUCAACACUUGCGUGGGCCUUCUCUUCCAGAAGGCGCUGCCCUCGCCGCCGUCGCAUGGCGGCCAGGCUGAGCUGGUCACACACAGCUGACGAGCGUGGCAGUGGAUGCUAUUUGCCUCUAAGUCCUGGCCAGACACCGGGAGCAAAGGACUGGAGACUACAGUAGCGGCAACUGUGUUUGCUUGGGGCUCGUGUUACCCUGCUAAGCCCCCAUUGAGGCAAAUGUCCCCGAAGCUGUGUCCAUGCAUUCCUCCAGAGCCGGCUGCCCCCAGUAACACCUUCACGGGACAAGGUGAAACAUCUCAAGCCUCAAAAUAUUCUUCUUUCAGAUGGCCACCUUCUGAAUGGCCUCUGUUUGCAGAGCAAUUCUAGUCAAGCGGAAAACAUGACUUCUCCCAGUAUACCACACCGAAGUGAACCAAAACCAUUAUCAGAAGGUUAUCAAAAUGCUUGAAUCUGGAGUCAGCUUUGUGCUAUAUAAAGCAAACUAACAUUUUGAUAGAAGCGUUGCUGUGAA